rnacentral:tRNA from 1 species
GCAGGAAAGAGGGCCCAAUUGGGAGGGAGAGAGAUGUAGAAAGCGAAUGAGUGAAAGGAGAGGG